UGGGGAAUAUUGCACAAUGGGCGAAAGCCUGAUGCAGCGACGCCGCGUGAAGGAUGAAGGUUUUCGGAUUGUAAACUUCUUUUAUUAAGGACGAAAAAUGACGGUACUUAAUGAAUAAGCUCCGGCUAACUACGUGCCAGCAGCCGCGGUAAUACGUAGGGAGCAAGCGUUGUCCGGAUUUACUGGGUGUAAAGGGUGCGUAGGCGGCUUUGCAAGUCAGAUGUGAAAUCUAUGGGCUCAACCCAUAAACUGCAUUUGAAACUGUAGAGCUUAAGUGAAGUAGAGGCAGGCGGAAUUCCCCGUGUAGCGGUGAAAUGCGUAGAGAUGGGGAGGAACACCAGUGGCGAAGGCGGCCUGCUGGGCUUUAACUGACGCUGAGGCACGAAAGCGUGGGUAGCAAACAGGAUUAGAUACCCUGGUAGUCCACGCUGUAAACGAUGAUUACUAGGUGUGGGGGGUCUGACCCCUUCCGUGCCGGAGUUAACACAAUAAGUAAUCCACCUGGGGAGUACGGCCGCAAGGUUGAAACUCAAAGGAAUUGACGGGGGCCCGCACAAGCAGUGGAGUAUGUGGUUUAAUUCGAAGCAACGCGAAGAACCUUACCAGGUCUUGACAUCCAACUAACGAAGUAGAGAUACAUUAGGUGCCCUUCGGGGAAAGUUGAGACAGGUGGUGCAUGGUUGUCGUCAGCUCGUGUCGUGAGAUGUUGGGUUAAGUCCCGCAACGAGCGCAACCCUUGCUAUUAGUUGCUACGCAAGAGCACUCUAAUAGGACUGCCGUUGACAAAACGGAGGAAGGUGGGGACGACGUCAAAUCAUCAUGCCCCUUAUGACCUGGGCUACACACGUACUACAAUGGAUGUUAACAGAGGGAAGCAAGACAGCGAUGUGGAGCAAACCCCUAAAAACAUUCUCAGUUCAGAUUGCAGGCUGCAACCCGCCUGCAUGAAGAUGGAAUUGCUAGUAAUCGCGGAUCAGCAUGCCGCGGUGAAUACGUUCCC
rnacentral:rRNA from 1 species